GUGGGGAAUCUUAGACAAUGGGGGAAACCCUGAUCUAGCCAUGCCGCGUGAUCGAUGAAGGCCUUAGGGUUGUAAAGAUCUUUCAGGUGGGAAGAUAAUGACUGUACCACCAGAAGAAGCCCCGGCUAACUCCGUGCCAGCAGCCGCGGUAAUACGGAGGGGGCUAGCGUUGUUCGGAAUUACUGGGCGUAAAGCGCACGUAGGCGGAUGGGAAAGUUGGGGGUGAAAUCCCGGGGCUCAACCCCGGAACUGCCUUCAAAACUCCCAGUCUUGAGUUCGAGAGAGGUGAGUGGAAUUCCGAGUGUAGAGGUGAAAUUCGUAGAUAUUCGGAGGAACACCAGUGGCGAAGGCGGCUCACUGGCUCGAUACUGACGCUGAGGUGCGAAAGCGUGGGGAGCAAACAGGAUUAGAUACCCCUGUAGUCC
rnacentral:rRNA from 1 species